UAAUCGCAUAAAAAGGAACCUAACUUUUUAACAUCUUUCAGGCCGUUUUCAAUGGCCAUUUUUGGCGAUUUCAAGUGCUAUGAACUCCUAGGAUGACAAGCUUUUCAGAUGGGACCUGUGGUACUCCAUUUGGUGGCCGGAGGAAGGAGAUCCAACGAGUGAAAAAUGAGCGAGAAAAUGGGUCGCUGUGAGCUUUUCGGCUAUUUUCCAGUGAUCCAACUGUCAGAUCAGCUAUCCGAGACCACCAUUAAACUCAAAGCGAUGAAACCUUUAAGAUGGGACAAAUUCCGCUUCGAUCGGAUACCGUUUGGAAAAGACGAUCAUCGGACGGUUAAGAUCACUCAGUACAAUCGGA
rnacentral:misc_RNA from 1 species